rnacentral:rRNA from 1 species
UACAGGGGGGCAAGCGUUGUUCGGAAUUAUCUGGGCGUAAAGGGCCAGUAGGCGGGCCAACUAAGUCCGAACGUGAAAUCCCCAGGCUUAAACCCGUGGGAAACCUGGCAUUCGUAUAACUGGGUUGCUAGAGAUCGGUAGAGGGCAGCGGAAAUUCCGGGUGUAGCGGUGAAAUGCGUAGAUAUCCGGAGGAACACCGAUGGCGAGGCAACUGCCUGGGCCUGAUCUGACACUGAGGCACGAAAGCGUGGGUAGCAAACAGGAU